rnacentral:rRNA from 1 species
GACGUAGGAGGCGAGCGUUGUCCGGAGUUACUGGGCGUAAAGCGCGCGCAGGCGGCCCUGUGCGCUGCCGGUGAAAGCUCCCGGCUUACCUGGGAGAGGUUCGGCAGGACGGCAGGGCUGGAGGGUGGGAGAGGUCGGUGGAAUUCCCGGUGUAGUGGUGAAAUGCGUAGAUAUCGGGAGGAACACCAGUGGCGAAGGCGACUUCCUGGCCUGUUCUUGACGCUGAGGCGCGAAAGCUAGGGUAGCAAACGGG